UGCCCAUCGUUUCGGCGUCGCUCAGCAGCCCUGAAGGCUUAAGGCACGGACGGAUAGGAAAGCGGGAAGUCCUCUGGUGAUUAAAAAAAAAAAAGGUGGGGAGGGGAAAAAAAUCUAAGGCGGGGGGAGAAGAGAGCCAGCCGAGGAGCCGCUGAGCGCCUCCUCAGCAAGCUUCAUCAGCAGCACUACUAAGGCGGCGAGGCUGCCUGCCUGCCUGCCCGCCCGUGCCCUGGAAAUCUGCCUGCUUCGGCUCGAAGGCAUCGCUUUGCACUUUCCCCUAUCAGGCAAGAAGACAUUUCUUACAGAUUGAAAUUGGUUACGCACUGAAUAUCUUUGCAGUUUUAAAAUUUCAG
rnacentral:lncRNA from 1 species